GGUUCGUUGGUCUAGCGGUAUGAUUCUCGCUUAGGGUCUCAACCCUGAGUUACAAAAUGCGAGAGGUCCCGGGUUCAAUCCCCGGACGAACCC
rnacentral:tRNA from 1 species